GAUGGACGCUGGCGGCGUGCCUAAUACAUGCAAGUCGAGCGAACGGACGAGAAGCUUGCUUCUCUGAUGUUAGCGGCGGACGGGUGAGUAACACGUGGAUAACCUACCUAUAAGACUGGGAUAGCUUCGGGAAACCGGAGCUAAUACCGGAUAAUAUUUUGAACCGCAUGGUUCAAAAGUGAAAGACGGUCUUGCUGUCACUCAUAGAUGGAUCCGCGCUGCAUUAGCUAGUUGGUAAGGUAACGGCUUACCAAGGCAACGAUGCAUAGCCGACCUGAGAGGGUGAUCGGCCACACUGGAACUGAGACACGGUCCAGACUCCUACGGGAGGCAGCAGUAGGGAAUCUUCCGCAAUGGGCGAAAGCCUGACGGAGCAACGCCGCGUGAGUGAUGAAGGUCUUCGGAUCGUAAAACUCUGUUAUUAGGGAAGAACAUAUGUGUAAGUAACUGUGCACAUCUUGACGGUACCUAAUCAGAAAGCCACGGCUAACUACGUGCCAGCAGCCGCGGUAAUACGUAGGUGGCAAGCGUUAUCCGGAAUUAUUGGGCGUAAAGCGCGCGUAGGCGGUUUUUUAAGUCUGAUGUGAAAGCCCACGGCUCAACCGUGGAGGGUCAUUGGAAACCGGAAAACUUGAGUGCAGAAGAGGAAAGUGGAAUUCCAUGUGUAGCGGUGAAAUGCGCAGAGAUAUGGAGGAACACCAGUGGCGAAGGCGACUUUCUGGUCUGUAACUGACGCUGAUGUGCGAAAGCGUGGGGAUCAAACAGGAUUAGAUACCCUGGUAGUCCACGCCGUACACGAUGAGUGCUAAGUGUUAGGGGGUUUCCGCCCCUUAGUGCUGCAGCUAACGCAUUAAGCACUCCGCCUGGGGAGUACGACCGCAAGGUUGAAACUCAAAGGAAUUGACGGGGACCCGCACAAGCGGUGGAGCAUGUGGUUUAAUUCGAAGCAACGCGAAGAACCUUACCAAAUCUUGACAUCCUUUGACAACUCUAGAGAUAGAGCUUUCCCCUUCGGGGGACAAAGUGACAGGUGGUGCAUGGUUGUCGUCAGCUCGUGUCGUGAGAUGUUGGGUUAAGUCCCGCAACGAGCGCAACCCUUAAGCUUAGUUGCCAUCAUUAAGUUGGGCACUCUAAGUUGACUGCCGGUGACAAACCGGAGGAAGGUGGGGAUGACGUCAAAUCAUCAUGCCCCUUACGAUUUGGGCUACACACGUGCUACAAUGGACAAUACAAAGGGCAGCGAAACCGCGAGGUCAAGCAAAUCCCAUAAAGUUGUUCUCAGUUCGGAUUGUAGUCUGCAACUCGACUACAUGAAGCUGGAAUCGCUAGUAAUCGUAGAUCAGCAUGCUACGGUGAAUACGUUCCCGGGUCU
rnacentral:rRNA from 1 species